AGCUUUGCACAGUGGCAGUAUCGUUAGCCAAUGAGCUUUACCCGAGGCGCGAUUAUUGCUAGUUAAAUAUUUAUAAAAACUUUUC
ensembl:snRNA U4 U4 spliceosomal RNA